GGUUCUAAAGUGUUCCAAGGUGGGGGAACUGAAUGUUGAUGAAGGCCUCUCAGUAAAUAAGGUUAACCGGCUGGUAUAUCCUAUUGUAACCGUAAGGUAUAGAAGCUACAGGAAGAUGCUGAUUUGCUGUUCAUCUGUUUGAUAAACGAUCAAGCCCUUAAACUCACCUGACCCAAAUUCUGGCACAAUUAUAGCAAUGGAACAGACAAUAACCUAUGAAUUAGAAAAUAAGUAUAUUGUAUUGUAUGAAUUUUUAUAUGUAUAUUUUGUCUCUUAUUCUGGUUUUUAUUUUUCAUUCCAACAGAACUUUGCUGCUCAGUAUGAUCACAACAAAGGCGCUGAUAUUGGUCCCGGCCCCAUGGGAAUGAUGGGAAUGAAAGGCCAACCUGGACUUCCCGGCCCCCCUGGAGAAAGAGUGAUAAUCCCUUGAGUCCGGACUUUGUUCCAUCUCUUUUCAACUACGUUCCAUCUCCAGAGAAGAGGAAAAGAAAAAUGAGACUGGAGGUUUUCAACAGACGACAGAGAGCAAAGCUACAGAAGAUGGAGCAGACAAAGCUAUCUGCGAAAGCCAUCCCUCCCAGAGCAUCAACAGAUUGUCCCAAAGACUGCAACAAGGAUCCUACUGCAGAGCAAAGUCCCACCACAGAGCCUUUGAAGGAAUCUACCCAUGAAGAACCUGGAAACGAUGUCCAGCCUGUUCUCCAUGAGGAGGAUCCAGCAACCCCACCAUGCACCACUGAAACCUGUGGUAAACGCGUCCAAUCUCUUGAGCAAGAAUGCCAAGCUCUGAGGACUGAAAAUAUGUUGUUGAAGGAAAAAAAUGAA